rnacentral:rRNA from 1 species
GACGAACGCUGGCGGCGUGCUUAACACAUGCAAGUCGAACGAAGUGGCGAACGGGUGAGUAACGCGUAAUCAACCUGCCCUUCAGAGGGGGACAACAGUUGGAAACGACUGCUAAUACCGCAUACUGAAGGAGGGGAUUGCGUCUGAUUCGCUAGUUGGGGGGGUAACGGCCCACCAAGGCGAGGAGCAGUAGCCGGUCGUAGAGGAUGAACGGCCACAUGGGGACGGAGACACGGCCCAGACUCCUACGGGAGGGAGCAGUGGGGAAUCUUCCGAAAUGGACGAAAGUCUGACGGAGCAACGCCGCGUGAGUGAUGACGGCCUUCGGGUGGUAAAGCUCUGUUAAUCGGGACGCGGUACCGGAAUAGAAAGCCACGGCUAACUACGUGCCAGCAGCCGCGGUAAUAC